CGAAAGCCCGCAGCCCGACUUGAACGGAAAUCCUUUUUUGCGUGGUAUCAAGUUCUACUGACUGAAAAUAGUAUGCAAAAAAGAUUGGGAGUGGAAGGCGGAAAAGCUG
rnacentral:sRNA from 1 species